rnacentral:tRNA from 1 species
GCGCUCGUAGCUCAGCUGGAUAGAGCACUAGACUACGAAUCUAGGGGUCGGGAGUUCGAAUCUUCCCGAGCGCG